rnacentral:rRNA from 1 species
AUUGAACGCUGGCGGCAUGCCUUACACAUGCAAGUCGAACGGCAGCACGGGUGCUUGCACCUGGUGGCGAGUGGCGAACGGGUGAGUAAUACAUCGGAACGUACCUUAUCGUGGGGGAUAACGCAGCGAAAGCUGUGCUAAUACCGCAUACGCCCUGAGGGGGAAAGCGGGGGAUCGAAAGACCUCGCGCGAUUAGAGCGGCCGAUGCCUGAUUAGCUUGUUGGUGGGGUAAAAGCCCACCAAGGCGACGAUCAGUAGCUGGUCUGAGAGGACGAUCAGCCACACUGGGACUGAGACACGGCCCAGACUCCUACGGGAGGCAGCAGUGGGGAAUUUUGGACAAUGGGGGCAACCCUGAUCCAGCAAUGCCGCGUGAGUGAAGAAGGCCUUCGGGUUGUAAAGCUCUUUUGUCAGGGAAGAAACAGCAGCUCUAACACAGUCUGCGAAUGACGGUACCUGAAGAAUAAGCACCGGCUAACUACGUGCCAGCCGCCGCGGUAA